rnacentral:rRNA from 1 species
UAGGGAAUCUUCCACAAUGGACGGAAGUCUGAUGGAGCAAUGCCGCGUGAGUGAUGAAGGAUUUCGGUUCGUAAAACUCUGUUGCGAGGGAAGAACAAGUGUAAACUAACUACUUACACCUUGACGGUACCUCGUUAGAAAGCCACGGCUAACUACGUG